CCUACGGGGGGCAGCAGUGGGGAAUUUUCCGCAAUGGGCGCAAGCCUGACGGAGCAAUACCGCGUGAGGGAGGAAGGCUCUUGGGUCGUAAACCUCUUUUCUCAGGGAAGAAAAAAAUGACGGUACCUGAGGAAUAAGCAUCGGCUAACUCUGUGCCAGCAGCCGCGGUAAUACAGAGGAUGCAAGCGUUAUCCGGAAUGAUUGGGCGUAAAGCGUCCGUAGGUGGUUAUGUAAGUCUGUGGUUAAAGCGUGGGGCUCAACCCCAUAACGGCCAUGGAAACUACAGGACUAGAGUUAAGUAGGGGUAGAGGGAAUUCCCAGUGUAGCGGUGAAAUGCGUAGAGAUUGGGAAGAACACCGGUGGCGAAAGCGCUCUACUGGACUUAUACUGACACUGAGGGACGAAAGCUAGGGGAGCGAAAGGGAUUAGAUACCCCAGUAGUC
rnacentral:rRNA from 1 species